rnacentral:rRNA from 1 species
CUACGGGUCGCAGCAGUGGGGAAUAUUGCACAAUGGGGGGAACCCUGAUGCAGCAACGCCGCGUGGAGGAUGACGCAUUUCGGUGUGUAAACUCCUUUUAUAUGUCAAGAAAAUGACGGUAGCAUACGAAUAAGCACCGGCUAACUCCGUGCCAGCAGCCGCGGUAAUACGGAGGGUGCAAGCGUUACUCGGAAUCACUGGGCGUAAAGGACGCGUAGGCGGGUUGGAAAGUCAGGUGUGAAAUCCUACAGCUUAACUGUAGAACUGCACUUGAAACUUCUAAUCUAGAGUAUGGGAGGGGGAGAUGGAAUUAGUGGUGUAGGGGUAAAAUCCGUAGAUAUCACUAGGAAUACCUAAGGCGAAGGCGAUCUCCUGGAACAUUACUGACGCUAAGGCGUGAAAGCGUGGGGAGCAAACAGGAUUAGAUACCCGCGUAGUC